rnacentral:rRNA from 1 species
AGAUUGAACGCUGGCGGCAGGCCUAACACAUGCAAGUCGAGCGGUAGAGAGGUGCUUGCACCUCUUGAGGGCGGCGGACGGGUGAGUAAUGCCUAGGAAUCUGCCUAGUGGUGGGGGAUAACGUUCGGAAACGGACGCUAAUACCGCAUACGUCCUACGGGAGAAAGCGGGGGACCUUCGGGCCUCGCGCCAUUAGAUGAGCCUAGGUCGGAUUAGCUAGUUGGUGAGGUAAUGGCUCACCAAGGCGACGAUCCGUAACUGGUCUGAGAGGAUGAUCAGUCACACUGGAACUGAGACACGGUCCAGACUCCUACGGGAGGCAGCAGUGGGAAUAUUGGACAAUGGGCAAAGCCUGAUCCAGCCAUGCCGCGUGUGUGAAGAAGGUCUUCGGAUUGUAAAGCACUUUAAGUUGGAGAAGGUUGUAACUUAAUACGUUGCAACUUUGACUUACCGACAGAAUAAGCACCGGCUAACUUCGUAGCCAGCAGCCGA